rnacentral:rRNA from 1 species
CCUACGCGUGGCUGCAGUGGGGAAUAUUGCACAAUGGGGGAAACCCUGAUGCAGCGACGCCGCGUGAGUGAAGAAGUAUUUCGUUAUGUAAAGCUCUAUCAGCAGGGAAGAUAAUGACGGUACCUGAGUAAGAAGCCCCGGCUAACUACGUGCCAGCAGCCGCGGUAAUACGUAGGGGGCAAGCGUUAUCCGGAUUUACUGGGUGUAAAGGGAGCGUAGACGGCAUGGCAAGUCUGAAGUGAAAGCCCGGGGCUCAACCGCGGGACUGCUUUGGAAACUGUUAAGCUGGAGUGCAGGAGAGGUAAGUGGAAUUCCUAGUGUAGCGGUGAAAUGCGUAGAUAUUAGGAGGAACACCAGUGGCGAAGGCGGCUUACUGGACUGUAACUGACGUUGAGGCUCGAAAGCGUGGGGAGCAAACAGGAUUAGAUACCCUAGUAGUC